GAUGAACGCUAGCUACAGGUCUUAACACAUGCAAGUCGAGGGGCAGCAUGGUCUUAGCUUGCUAAGGCCGAUGGCGACCGGCGCACGGGUGAGUAACACGUAUCCAACCUGCCGUCUACUCUUGGACAGCCUUCUGAAAGGAAGAUUAAUACAAGAUGGCAUCAUGAGUUCACAUGUUCACAUGAUUAAAGGUAUUCCGGUAGACGAUGGGGAUGCGUCCCAUUAGCUUGUUGGUGAGGUAACGGCUCACCAAGGCAUCGAUGGGUAGGGGUUCUGAGAGGAAGGUCCCCCACAUUGGAACUGAGACACGGUCCAAACUCCUACGGGAGGCAGCAGUGAGGAAUAUUGGUCAAUGGACGAAAGUCUGAACCAGCCAAGUAGCGUGCAGGACGACGGCCCUCUGGGUUGUAAACUGCUUUUAGUUGGGAAUAAAAAGAGGGACGUGUCCCUUAUUGUAUGUACCAUCAGAAAAAGGACCGGCUAAUUCCGUGCCAGCAGCCGCGGUAAUACGGAAGGUCCAGGCGUUAUCCGGAUUUAUUGGGUUUAAAGGGAGCGCAGGCGGUGGCGUAAGUCAGUUGUGAAAUCGUGCGGCUUAACCGUGCAAUUGCAGUUGAUACUGCGUCGCUUGAGUGCACACAGGGAUGUUGGAAUUCAUGGUGUAGCGGUGAAAUGCUUAGAUAUCAUGAAGAACUCCGAUCGCGAAGGCAUAUGUCCGGAGUGCAACUGACGCUGAGGCUCGAAAGUGUGGGUAUCAAACAGG
rnacentral:rRNA from 1 species